UACGAAGGGGGCGAGCGUUGUUCGGAUUUACUGGGCGUAAAGGGCGCGCAGGCGGUUCUGUUUGUCGAGUGUGAAAGCCCCGGGCUCAACCUGGGAACUGCGCUCGAAACGGCAGAACUAGAGUUCGGGAGAGGAGAGUGGAAUUCCCAGUGUAGAGGUGAAAUUCGUAGAUAUUGGGAAGAACACCCGUGGCGAAGGCGGCUUUCUGGGACGGUACUGACGCUGAGACGCGAAAGCGUGGGGAGCGAACAGG
rnacentral:rRNA from 1 species